rnacentral:rRNA from 1 species
GAGUUUGAUCCUGGCUCAGGACGAACGCUGGCGGCGCGCCUAACACAUGCAAGUCGAACGAGCGAGAGAGAGCUUGCUUUCUCGAGCGAGUGGCGAACGGGUGAGUAACGCGUGAGGAACCUGCCUCAAAGAGGGGGACAACAGUUGGAAACGACUGCUAAUACCGCAUAAGCCCACGGGUCGGCAUCGACCAGAGGGAAAAGGAGCAAUCCGCUUUGAGAUGGCCUCGCGUCCGAUUAGCUAGUUGGUGAGGUAACGGCCCACCAAGGCGACGAUCGGUAGCCGGACUGAGAGGUUGAACGGCCACAUUGGGACUGAGACACGGCCCAGACUCCUACGGGAGGCAGCAGUGGGGGAUAUUGCACAAUGGGGGAAACCCUGAUGCAGCGACGCCGCGUGGAGGAAGAAGGUUUUCGGAUUGUAAACUCCUGUCGUUAGGGACGAUAAUGACGGUACCUAACAAGAAAGCACCGGCUAACUACGUGCCAGCAGCCGCGGUAAUUC